rnacentral:rRNA from 1 species
AGUGAACGCUGGCGGCAGGCCUAAUACAUGCAAGUCGAACGGCAGCACAGUGGAGCUUGCUCCAUGGGUGGCGAGUGGCGGACGGGUGAGGAAUACAUGGGAAUCUGCCCAGUCGUGGGGAUAACGUAUGGAAACGUACGCUAAUACCGCAUGCGCCCUUCGGGGGAAGUCGGGGACCGCAAGGCCUGACGCGAUUGGAUGAGCCCAUGUUCGAUUAGCUAGUUGGCGGGUAACGGCCCACCAAGGCGACGAUCGAUAGCUGGUCUGAGAGGAUGAUCAGCCACACUGGAACUGAGACACGGUCCAGACUCCUACGGGAGGCAGCAGUAGGGAAUAUUGGACAAUGGGGCAACCCUGAUCCAGCCAUGCCGCGUGAGUGAAGAAGGCCCUCGGGGUUCGUAAAGCUCUUUUGUUGGGGAAGAAAGCAGUUGGUUAAUA